rnacentral:tRNA from 1 species
GGGGCCAUAGCUCAGUCGGUAGAGCGCUUGCAUGGCAUGCAAGAGGUCCGGGGUUCGAGUCCCCGUGGCUCCA